CGGAACCAUUUUUGCCUCUGCCCCCGUGUACACAUCGCCGCAUCACCACCGAAGACACCUCGACAGGGAGGUGGUUGUAUGCGUGUCACACCUUUUUUUCAAGACAGUUGACCAGUUUAGGUGCAGUUUUUUAUUCUCACAGAAAACACCGGUUGCCCCUCGGUGUACGUACACAUAGUGACACCAACCUCACUGGCUGCAGUUCUUCUUGGAAAUCGUCGGCACCACUUCGCAGUGGACACGCGCAGCCAUUUCCAGAUCAAGAUGGCAGGCAGGCUGGUACCAAGGACGGUUUUCGGCAUCUGGCCGUGGCCGGGAAAUGCAAAGGCACGGUUCUGAGACAUGGUGAUGCGCAUGCCGAAUCCAAAUUCUGUUGAUUCGGUGGUUAACCGUUCUCCACAGAUUUUUCUGUGUACGGUUAGGCCGAGGAAUGCCCGCGCAAAAAAAAAAGGACUCCUUGCCAGCUUCUGCUCAGCAUUAGUGUCGGCAUCAAGGUGACGGGAAAGGGAAUCUUUCGUCGUCACGCAGAGACGAGCUUUUUGCGCGUGUGGUUAGAUUCAGUCUAUGCAGUGUAGCGGAAGGUUUUUUAGAAAUUCAUUCCAGAAAUUACCCCCGGCAGUGGUAGUGUUGCUGGUUCUAUUACGUUAUGUUUUCCUGCGACUGAACGGUAGUUUCUGUUCACAAGGUAGAACAUCAAUGUGUGAAUCGACAGAAACCGUAGACAACUGUUUUAGUGGCACGCUGCUUGUUAUUGUCACACGAUUCGGUUACGGGGAAUUGGGGUUUGCGUGCUUUGAUGUAAAAGGGCCACGGUUCUGCGUCCUCACGAAUGAUGUUCUCUCCUUACCAGUGUCAGGAGGAAUAAAGGACGCAAAUCCAAGACAUUGGAGUGUUUUGUGUGCACCUACAUUUCCUCUACUCGUGGACGUCAAGAGUGGAAGGGGAGGCUCUGUCAAUCUGUUCGCUUUGCUGAGAAAUAGUGAGUCCCAGCGUCCUGGUCUGUGUCCGAGCACAAGCUCUACGUUGGCAGUGGUUUUGCAAAAUUUGGUUCUUGUCACGGAGGAAUGUCCAGGGACCAUGCCGUUUCUCCUUGUUUGGGUAGUCUACGGUCAGCAAGUUGUCUUCUCUGGAAGCUUGCGUGUUAUUUCCCAAGUUAUUAGACAGUUGCGAUAGGGAGUUACGCAGAAGAGGGCAACGACGAAACGGCGCAGAGCAGGCAUUUCUGCCAGCAUUUCUUUGUGGAUGCCGUUAGCCUGAUAUCUGAUUCAGCAGAUGAGUACAUACGCGUAUAUAUAUAUAUAUAUGUAAACUCCUGGUACCGCCCAUAUCCCCAGCUAGAGUCAGGUAAAAAGGCAUCACUUCAUUCCUUGGAGUGCACUGAUGUUUGGAACGAGAUUUAAGGUCGACUGAAGUCGGCAGGUUUUUCUCUUCCGUCAGAGAUCGGACUGAAGUUCCCGUUCAGUGAGUGCGCCAGGCUCGAGUGACGAGAGCGUCAAGCGAGACAGCUCGUCGAGUUGCUCUUUGUAGAUCCGCGUAGCCUCCUGGGGGUGUUCUGAGGAAGGAAGUUGCGCGAAGAGAUUCUGGCAUAGGUCGUAUGCCUCUGUAAGCUUCAACUGCACGGUGUGUUUCUGCUCAGCGAACUCUUUCUCUUCUUCAGCGUGUACGGUCGCUUCGUAGUGUUCCCCCUUCACGUCAUAAAACAGGUCAUACAAGGCUUGUAGUUUCCGUCUGUAAGCCUGUUUAAAGUCUUCCACCGCACAGCGCAUCACCGUGAGAAGCUCGCCCACGGCAGCUUCGUAGUGCCCUUGGCAUGCAAGCGCCUGAGAGAGCACCUUGUGUGCCGCAGCGUUACCUGACGACAUAUG
rnacentral:lncRNA from 1 species